rnacentral:rRNA from 1 species
UACAUGGGGUGCAAGCGUUGUUCGGAAUUAUUGGGCGUAAAGAGCGCGUAGGCGGUUACUCAAGUCGGAUGUGAAAUCCCUCGGCUUAACCGGGGAACUGCGUCUGAUACUGGAUGGCUUGAGAUUGGGAGAGGGACGCGGAAUUCCUGGUGUAGCGGUGGAAUGCGCAGAUAUCAGGAGGAACACCGGUGGCGAAGGCGGUUCUCUGGGCAUUUCCUGACGCUGAGGAGCGAAAGCAUGGGGAGCGAACAGG